UACGUAGGGGCAAGCGUUGUCCGGAAUCAUUGGGCGUAAAGCGCGUGUAGGCGGCUGGGUAAGUCCGCUCUGAAAGCCCGGGGCUCAACCCCGGGAGGCGGGUGGAUACUGCUCAGCUCGAGUCCGGAAGAGGCGAGUGGAAUUCCUGGUGGUAGCGGUGAAAAUGCGCAGAUAUCAGGAGGAACACCAAUGGCGAAGGCAGCUCGCUGGGACCGGUACUGACGCUGAGGAGCGAAAGCGUGGGGAGCGAACAGG
rnacentral:rRNA from 1 species